GCCAUUGAAGCUCUGGAGGUAGAGCAUGCCACUGUUAAUGGCAAGGACCAGGGAUCGACUCCCUGCAAUGGCU
rnacentral:tRNA from 2 species